rnacentral:rRNA from 1 species
AACAAACGCUGGCGGCAGGCCUAACACAUGCAAGUCGAACGGGACCUUCGGGUCUAGUGGCGGACGGGUGAGUAACGCGUGGGAACGUGCCCUUUGGUUCGGAAUAGCCCCGGGAAACUGGGAGCAAUACCGGAUAAUCCCUACGGGGGAACGAUUUAUCGCCAAAGGAUCGGCCCGCGUUGGAUUAGGUAGUUGGUGAGGUAAUGGCUCACCAAGCCGACGUUCCAUAGCUGGUUUGAGAGGAUGAUCACCCACACUGAGUCUGAGACACGGCGCAGACUCCUACGGGAGGCAGCAGUGGGGAAUCUUAGACAAUGGGGGAAACCCUGAUCUAGCCAUGCCACGUGAUCGAUGAAGGCCUUAGGGUUGUAAAGAUCUUUCAGUGGGGAAGAUAAUGACUGUACCCACAGAAGAAGCCCCGGCUAACUCCGUGCCAGCAGCCGCAGUAA